AUGGCGUUCAGCAAGUCGAACCAUGCACCGGUCAGAGUUGGUGCAUGAUGCUCUCGAUUGAGUUGGCUUAAGGAGUGUCCGAAAAAUCAGACAAGAGGUUGCAAGGAGGCAUCUUUGAGAAGAAAUGUUUUGUUGUUUGCGAGCAGCAGCUGUUGUUUACGGAGAGCACUGGCUUCAUAGAGGCAGCGUGUCUUGCCUUCUUAUGCUACUAUGUGUUUAACAUGACCUAUGCAAAGGGAGCAGCUACAACACUUGAGUUCAUUCAGAGGCAAAUAUGUGAUAUUAAUCCCUCCAAGGGCAGCAGAUCCCAGGGCAAUGCCCGCCGUUUGGCUAUUCCUACAAAGGUAGUGAAGCUGGCACAGCUUCUUCGAAAGGAAU